GGGGGGGGGGGGGGGGGGGGGGGGGGGGGGGGGGGGGGGGGGGGGUGGGGGGUUGGGGGUGGGGUUGGGGGGGGGGGGGGUGAGUAACGGGUAAAGGAGUUGGAGCACAGCUAGGGACGACGUUUGGAGACGGAUGCUAAUACCUAAUAUUAUGAUAAUAGGGCAUCCUAUGAUUAUGACAGCUAGAAGCGCUGUGAGAGAGCUUUGCGUGCGCUUAGCUAGUUGGAGAGGUACCGGCUCACCAAGGCGAUGAUGGGUAGCCGGCCUGAGAGGGUGAUCGGCCACAAGGGGACUGAGACACGGCCCUUACUCCUACGGGAGGCAGCAGUGGGGAAUAUUGGACAAUGGACCGAGAGUCUGAUCCAGCAAUUCUGUGUACACGAUGAAGUUUUUCGGAAUGUAAAGUGCUUUCAGUUGGGAAGAAACAAAUGACGGUACCAACAGAAGAAGUGACGGCUAAAUACGUG
rnacentral:rRNA from 1 species